GCCUUCGUGGUGUAAUGGUCAACACACGGCGCUGUCGGUGCGUAUUCCAGAGGUCUGAGGUUCGAGUCCCAGCAAGAGCA
rnacentral:tRNA from 1 species